GUGGUACAACAUCUUGGCCCUGCAACUGAUUUUUAUAAGAAACUUGCAUUAGAUUGCUCGGGACAGCAAACUGCAGUGGAUUUGUUCCUUUUAAGUUCACAGUAUUCUGAUCUUGCUUCUCUAGCUUGCAUGUCCAAGUAUUCUGCAGGGUGCAUCUAUUAUUAUCCAUCAUUCCACUAUACUCACAAUCCUUCACAAGCAGAAAAGUUACAAAAAGACCUAAAACGGUAUCUCACAAGAAAAAUUGGAUUUGAAGCUGUUAUGAGAAUAAGGUGUACUAAAGGUCUUUCAAUGCACACUUUUCACGGUAACUUCUUUGUCCGUUCUACUGAUUUGUUAUCCCUUGCCAACAUCAAUCCUGAUGCUGGAUUUGCGGUGCAGUUGUCAAUUGAAGAAAGUUUAACAGAUACUUCCUUAGUAUGUUUUCAGACAGCCCUAUUAUAUACAUCAAGCAAAGGUGAGCGGAGAAUUAGAGUACAUACACUUUGUUUGCCAGUGGUAAGUUCACUAGCAGAUGUAUAUGCGGGAGUGGAUGUACAAGCUGCCAUCUGCCUUCUGGCAAACAUGGGUGAGUAAAAAUUGAAGGAAC
rnacentral:lncRNA from 1 species